rnacentral:rRNA from 1 species
AGUGAACGCUGGCGGUAGGCCUAACACAUGCAAGUCGAACGGCAGCACAGUAAGAGCUUGCUCUUACGGGUGGCGAGUGGCGGACGGGUGAGGAAUACAUCGGAAUCUACUUUUUCGUGGGGGAUAACGUAGGGAAACUUACGCUAAUACCGCAUACGACCUACGGGUGAAAGCAGGGGAUCUUCGGACCUUGCGCGAUUGAGUGAGCCGAUGUCGGAUUAGCUAGUUGGCGGGGUAACGGCCCACCAAGGCGACGAUCCCUAGCUGGUCUGAGAGGAGGAGCAGCCACACUGGAACUGAGACACGGUCCAGACUACUACGGGAGGCAGCAGUGGGGAAUAUUGGACAAAGGGCGCAAGCCUGAUGCCGCCAUGCCGGGUGGAUGAAGAAGGCCUUCGGGUUGUAAAGUACUUUCAGCGGGGAGGAAGGGAGUAAAGUUAAUACCUUUGCUCAUUGACGUUACCCGCAGAAGAAGCACCGGCUAACUCCGUG